rnacentral:rRNA from 1 species
AUUGAACGCUGGCGGCAUGCUUUACACAUGCAAGUCGAACGGUAACAGGCCGCAAGGUGCUGACGAGUGGCGAACGGGUGAGUAAUGCAUCGGAACGUGCCCAGUCGUGGGGGAUAACGCAGCGAAAGCUGCGCUAAUACCGCAUACGAUCUAUGGAUGAAAGCGGGGGACCGCAAGGCCUCACGCGAUUAGAUGAGCCG